AAUAAGCGGAGGAAAAGAAACCAACAGGGAUUGCCUCAGUAACGGCGAGUGAAGCGGCAAGAGCUCAAAUUUGAAAGCUGGGUUCUUCGGGGUCCGCAUUGUAAUUUGCAGAGGGAUGCUUCGGGAGUGGCCCCCAUCUAAGUGCCCUGGAACGGGCCGUCAUAGAGGGUGAGAAUCCCGUCUGGGAUGGGGUGUCCACGCCCGUGUGAAGCUCCUUCGACGAGUCGAGUUGUUUGGGAAUGCAGCUCUAAAUGGGUGGUAAAUUUCAUCUAAAGCUAAAUACUGGCCGGAGACCGAUAGCGCACAAGUAGAGUGAUCGAAAGAUGAAAAGCACUUUGAAAAGAGAGUUAAACAGCACGUGAAAUUGUUGAAAGGGAAGCGCUUGCGACCAGACUCGCCCACGGGGUUCAGCCGGCAUUCGUGCCGGUGUACUUCCCCGCGGGCGGGCCAGCGUCGGUUUGGGCGGCCGGUCAAAGGCCCUGGAAGUAACG
rnacentral:rRNA from 1 species